rnacentral:tRNA from 1 species
UCCCUGACAGUCCAGUGGUUAGGACACAGUGCUUUCAUUGUCAGGGCCUAGGUUUGAUCCCUGGUCGGGGAA